CGGGGCGUAGCGCAGCCUGGUAGCGCACCUGCCUUGGGCGCAGGGGGUCGGGAGUUCAAAUCUCCCCGCCCCGACCA
rnacentral:tRNA from 1 species